UGUCUUUUAAUGCUCUGCAAAUUGGAUCAAAGGAAGCUUCUUCCUUUAACUGCUGUUUUAAAGCUUUCAGUAACUCCAUACAGAAUCAAAAAGUACAUUAAAACAUUCUUCCUAGAGCGACUGUGCUGUGCCCGU